UACCCAUGAGCUCCUGCAGCACAGUCGAGGAAGAAGGUUCCAGUGGAUUUGACAUUCGUAAGCGUGAGUCGCGUGACUGGAGAGCGACUGUACUGCAGCCAAAGUCGUCGGAUGCACAAUGUCCCAGCCGUCUCCAGCCGACCCUGAACGGCCAGGAAAUGCAGUCGUGGGUCCCGUAGGAAUUGACUACAUCCCCACAGAGGAGGAGAGGAGCAUGUUCAGGGAGUGUAAUCAGGAAAGCUUCUGGUACAGAUCACUCCCCAUAUCUGCCAUCAGCAUGGCCUUCACUCAGUUCCUUAUCUCUAGAGGUGGG